CCUUGUUACUUUCCUUCUGUAAAAACUAAAGCCAGGAAUCAUUUUAAGUGAAUCGAUUGAAUACAGCUAGUGGAAACAUAAAAAGAUGGCAGUUAAACAGUAAGAAAGCAUCUGGCAUAAAUUAAGUGAACAGAUUUCCAAACCAUUUGAAAAACAACACAUGUAUUUGGCACUGGUUUUGGCAUUUGGAGGGAACACACUUAAAAGUAAGAGUCUGCAUCCAAGAAACUUACAUUCUGAGAGAGAAGAUAAGAAAAUUAAGCUGAACACGCCAAGACCCAAGGAGCCCAGGGCAGGCUGUGCAGCACACCCUGUGCCCCAACCACACUGCUUCCUCUUCUGAAUGUCUGCACCCCCAAGUUUGGUUCAUUUUGAGCUUCAGGUGUGGUCUCAUUUCUUUGGCACUCCUCUCCAAUCAAAAGAUCUCAGUUUCAAAAAACUGUGAGCAUAUUCAAUGAUUAAAAAGUCUGUUUGACAAUAAUCUGCAAAUUUGCCACAUAAAGCAUGAACUUUGCUUCAUAAAGCUUAAUUCCAGCUGCUGAAAGUUGUCCUGCCCUUUCUUUAUGGGGUCUCCAAAGAGAAGCUUGUUUUAUGUCACAUUAUUUUCUCCCCUCUUUAUGGGCCAGAUUCAAUUAGUCACUACUUGGCUAUUGAACACUUUUUGCAAAUUAAAGAGAAAGUCACCUCAGGCAACUUAAAAAUAGAGGCUUAUUGGGAACUUGAUGAUACUGCAACUCAUUAAAGAACUUAGGUCCUAUACCCCUGACCUCACUGAUCAAAUAGAGGCCACUGCUUUGAAGCCAGCAAGGACCCAUGGGACUGACCUAAUGCUUCUUGCCUUCAGCUUCUGGAGCUUAUCACAUUACUAAUGUUUGAGUCUCUAAUCCAGCUGGCUAGUUUAAUCAUCUUGAAGUAAAAUAAUACUAUUAA